CUGGUUGAUCCUGCCAGUAGUCAUAUGCUUGUUUCAAAGAUUAAGCCAUGCAAGUCUAAGUAUAAGCUAACUAUACAGCAAAACUGCGAAUAGCUCAUUAAAACAGUUAUAAUCUAAACGAUGAUCAUUACUAAAUGGAUAUCCAUGGUAAUUCUGGAGCUAAUACAUGCAAAAACCUGCUCCAGGUGCAUUCAUUAGUUCGCGAAUCAUCCAGAAGCUUGCCUCGGUUUUUGAUGAUCAGAGUGAAUAUGCGGAUCUCAAUUCGAGACAGUUCGUUCGAGUUUCUGACCUAUCAGCUAUUGUCGGUAGGGUAUUGGCCUACUGAGGCGGUAACGGGUAACGGGGAAUUAGGGUUCGAUUCCGGAGAGGGAGCCUGAGAAACGGCUACCACAUCUAAGGGUGGCAGCAGGCGCGCAAAUUACCCAAUCCCGACACAGGGAGGUAGUGACAAGAAAUAGCGGCGUGGGGCAUUUGCUUCAUGACUGCAAUGAGUAGAAUGCAAAUUUGUUUGCGAGUAUCAAUUGGAGGGCAAGUCUGGU
rnacentral:rRNA from 1 species